rnacentral:rRNA from 1 species
AACGAACGCUGGCGGCAGGCCUAACACAUGCAAGUCGAGCGCCCUUUCGGGGGAGCGGCGGACGGGUGAGUAACGCGUGGGAAUAUGCCCUUCUCUACGGAAUAGCCUCGGGAAACUGAGAGUAAUACCGUAUACGCCCUGUGGGGGAAAGAUUUAUCGGGGAAGGAUUAGCCCGCGUUGGAUUAGGUAGUUGGUGGGGUAAUGGCCUACCAAGCCGACGAUCCAUAGCUGGUUUGAGAGGAUGAUCAGCCACACUGGGACUAAGACACGGCCCAGACUCCUACGGGAGGCAGCAGUGGGGAAUCUUAGACAAUGGGGGCAACCCUGAUCUAGCCAUGCCGCGUGAGUGAUGAAGGCCUUAGGGUUGUAAAGCUCUUUCAGCUGGGAAGAUAAUGACGGUACCAGCAGAAGAAGCCCCGGCUAACUCCGUG